UGGGGAAUAUUGGACAAUGGGGGAAACCCUGAUCCAGCGACGCCGCGUGAGGGAAGAAGGUUUUCGGAUUGUAAACCUCUGUCUUUGGGGACGAAAAAAAUGACGGUACCCAAAGAGGAAGCCACGGCUAACUACGUGCCAGCAGCCGCGGUAAUACGUAGGUGGCAAGCGUUGUCCGGAAUUAUUGGGUGUAAAGGGAGCGUAGGCGGGUAAGUAAGCAAACUGUAAAAUGGAAGGGCUCAACCCUUUUAAGCGGUUUGAACUGCGUAUCUUGAGUGAAGUAGAGGCAGAUGGAAUUCCCUGUGUAGCGGUGGAAUGCGUAGAUAUAGGGAGGAACACCAGUGGCGAAGGCGGUCUGCUGGGCUUUAACUGACGCUGAGGCUCGAAAGUGUGGGUAGCAAACA
rnacentral:rRNA from 1 species